rnacentral:rRNA from 1 species
AUUGAACGCUGGCGGCAUGCCUUACACAUGCAAGUCGAACGGCAGCACGGGUGCUUGCCCCUGGUGGCGAGUGGCGAACGGGUGAGUAAUACAUCGGAACAUGUCCUGUAGUGGGGGAUAGCCCGGCGAAAGCCGGAUUAAUACCGCAUACGAUCUACGGAUGAAAGCGGGGGACCUUCGGGCCUCGCGCUAUAGGGUUGGCCGAUGGCUGAUUAGCUAGUUGGUGGGGUAAAGGCCUACCAAGGCGACGAUCAGUAGCUGGUCUGAGAGGACGACCAGCCACACUGGAACUGAGACGCGGCCCAGACUCCUACGGGAGGCAGCAGUGGGGAAUUUUGGACAAUGGGCGAAAGCCUGACCCAGCAAGGCCGCGUGUGUGAAGAAGGCCUUCGGGUUGUAAAGAACUUUUGUCCGGAAAGAAAACCUUGGCCCUAAUACGGUCGGGGGAUGACGGUACCGGAAGAAUAAGCACCGGCUAACUACGUG